CCAACUUCCAAUCUGGUAACAUAUUUUGGUGAGCCAGCCAGGAGGGUCAAGCCUGCAAUACCUAAAGCUCCAGACCUGGAACCCAAAGCUCCCAUCAGUCGCUACCCUGUGAACCUGUGGAGGAUCUGAAGUACCUGUUUAAAAGGCAUCCAAAAGAUAGAAUCUAUCAAGCUACAAAUGGCUAUGUUGCCUGAAGCCCCAGACAUCAUCCUACAAGAAAUAAGUCCAGACUUCUUAAUUUCCCCCUGGAUAGAGCAGGCCACCACGCUGUAAGAAAGCACAAAGUCUUCAUAGAGAAACCAUCUGGAGGGACCUCAAGCUCCCAGCCAACAGCCAGUCCUGCAAGAGGAGUGUUCAGCUGAGUUCAGUCCCAACCUGAGUUGCAUCAACUGAGCUUUCAGACAUCAUGGAGCAAAGACAAAGCCAUCUCUGCUGGGCCUGAAUCCUAGGCCACAUAAUACACAAGCAAAACAAAAUGGCUGUUUUCCCCCCAUUGCAGUUUGGGGUAAUUUGUUACAUAGCUAUAAUAACUGGAACAAAAGGAUAUAAACAAG
rnacentral:lncRNA from 10 species